GACGAACGCUGGCGGCGUGCCUAAUACAUGCAAGUCGAGCGGAUCUUUAAAGCUUGCUUUUAAAGAUUAGCGGCGGACGGGUGAGUAACACGUGGGCAACCUGCCUAUAAGACUGGGAUAACUCCGGGAAACCGGGCUAAUACCGGAUAAUGGCUCUUAACACAUGUUAGGAUUCUGAAAGAUGGCUUCGGCUAUCACUUAUAGAUGGGCCCGCGGCGCAUUAGCUAGUUGGUGAGGUAACGGCUCACCAAGGCAACGAUGCGUAGCCGACCUGAGAGGGUGAUCGGCCACACUGGGACUGAGACACGGCCCAGACUCCUACGGGAGGCAGCAGUAGGGAAUCUUCCGCAAUGGACGAAAGUCUGACGGAGCAACGCCGCGUGAGUGAUGAAGGUUUUCGGAUCGUAAAACUCUGUUUGUUUAGGAAGA
rnacentral:rRNA from 1 species